rnacentral:rRNA from 1 species
AGCCACAGCCAUAUCACCCUGCAGCCCAAGACUGGUUGCCCACUGAAGCUAAGCAGGGUUGAGCCUGGUCAGUACCUGGAUGGGAGACCUCCUGGGAAAACUAGGUUGCUGUUGGAG